CGGGCAAUGGCACAAUUGAAACGACCGUCGAAUGCGAGACAAACGACAAUACAGCAGCUACUCUAGAGGUGCAAGCCCUAACUUGCAUCAAUUAGGUAUUAUCCAUUUCUAUGACUAUUAUCGGUGAUCUGUUGAUGCAAUUUCCAGUGUUUUACUAAUCAGAUUGGCAAUUAACUUUUGGUUCCAAAUGAGAAACUGAAUCUGGUACUGGGAUUUUGAAUAAUAAUUUUUCAAACAGCGACCAUGUCGAUUAUGCUACAGGAUUUGUUAGUCGCAAUUGUAGCGAAAUGUACCUGAAAUGCAGUGAAUUUAAAUGGAGAUGCAUUUUGGAAGAUCCCAUCUUUGAGCCACCUCUCAGGCUUGAAUGAAGCUGCAUCUGGACCCCAAUUGUACUCCAUUCUUCCCAUAGAGUAUGGUACAUAUGUCACCAUGCCUCCAGCCUUUACUUUGGUUCCAUCUGGGCUUCCACAUCUAAACAUGUAGAAAUUACCUGCAUAUCUACUUGCUGAUUGCUGUAAGAUGCUUGGCUCAGAAUGGCAGAGAGUUUGAGGCUAUACUCUCUGAAAACCACGGUGCUGAAAUCCCUCAAGUUCUUGGAAGCAAACUCAAAACUAGCAGUCUUCCUCUGUUUCCUCCAGAGCUCACCAUCUGCAUUGAAAAUACCGUCUCCAAGCAGAACUUCCAUGUAUGAAUGAAGCUUGUUUUCAGGACAUGCUCCACAUUAGUUGGAUCUGCAAUGUAUGUAUAUGUUGUGAAAGGCAUUGGCACGACUACCGUUCUCGACCGAGCCAGGUAUUUGACAAGCCAGUCGUGCAUUCUGUGAUAAUUCAUCAGCUGUUCUAUGGCAGCCCCCAAAAAUGGCCACGUUUUUGGACCUUUGGCAUGCCUCUGCUUAAACCUGUGAAGGAAGAUCCAUGAAAAGAGCAUGCAGAAAACCAGCACCAUUACACCCAUGCCGUAUUCUUG